rnacentral:lncRNA from 1 species
GCAGCCCCCUGGACGAGCUCAGCAGCAUCUUCAGCUCCGGCCGCCCUGUGCUGCGCAGGUCAGCGGCGGGGCGCAGGAUCCGUGAGGACGGAGCUGUAUUUGAGGACCGAAGUUAAUGACUUUCCAGGCAGAACGCUCCCAUUUGGAAGUCCCCAAGUCUAGCACAGAGGAAGUGAAUUACUGACCCAUCAGGCACGGUGUCUACGCUUGCUGAUCCAAUCUCCCCA